ensembl:lncRNA
CUUCUAAAUAAUUCAGCACAACACUUCCAUCCUCUUCUUGGGAAUGGUCUUUUCUGUGCGUUACAGUCCUAUUGAAGGGCUGUGUAAGAAUCUACUGAAGACUUUUCAGCUAUGACCUUGUGGCCCUCAAGUGGGUGUUCAAGUAGGUGUUUUUUACGUGAAAACAUACUUAUACUCACUUGGGAACUGCAUGUUGCUAUGGUUGGUGUAGGGUUGUACAUUUUGUCUGGGCUGUGCCUUUGCCAGUCAUACUGCUUGUAAGCCCUGUAAAUCUUCCUGGAACAUACCUCAGUAGACAUAAUCAAACAAUAUUCUAUGUAUAUUUGGGAAAUAUAUAUUACUGUUUUGAUCUGUUCAUAAGGACAGGAGCUAUAGUUAAAGCUCAGUUUUUUUUUAACCUAAAAGAUGAAUAUAAGAUCUCAGAAGAAGUUAAAUAAAUGACACU